UAGUUCUUGCAGAGGGGCGAGUGUAGUUCCCAUAGCGCGUUCGGCCGAACACACUACUUUGCAGAGCCUUUUUGUCCCGGGCAGAGCAGUUCCCAAACCAGAUUGUGAUAUUGCUGGAGUAAUUCAG